GAUGAACGCUAGCUACAGGCUUAACACAUGCAAGUCGAGGGGCAGCACAGUGUAGCAAUACAUGGGUGGCGACCGGCGCACGGGUGCGUAACGCGUAUCCAACCUUCCCGUUACUCUUGGAUAGCCUUCCGAAAGGGAGAUUAAUACAAGAUGGUAUUCAAAUUCCGCAUGUUAUUUGAAUUAAAGAUUUAUCGGUAACGGAUGGGGAUGCGUGACAUUAGAUAGUAGGCGGGGUAACGGCCCACCUAGUCUACGAUGUCUAGGGGUUCUGAGAGGAAGGUCCCCCACACUGGAACUGAGACACGGUCCAGACUCCUACGGGAGGCAGCAGUGAGGAAUAUUGGUCAAUGGUCGGAAGACUGAACCAGCCAAGUAGCGUGAAGGAUGAAGGUUCUAUGGAUUGUAAACUUCUUUUAUACGGGAAUAAAACACCUUACGUGUAGGGUCUUGUAUGUACCGUAUGAAUAAGCAUCGGCUAACUCCGUG
rnacentral:rRNA from 1 species